GACGAUCUAAAAAGCAAAGGCAACAGCAACCGCGCCGGCAACGGCAAUCCAACUGGCGCCGGCCAUGGCAGCAGCGUUGGGAGGGGAGGAGGGGGAGUCAGCAGGAGCACCGGCGACGGAGGGAGAUGCGGCGCCAGGGGAGGUGGCUGGAGCUCUGGGAGCCGGUGGAGAAGUGGCUGGAGCAGAUGCAGGGACGGCAGUGGGCGGGGAGACGGGAGCCACGGUCGGUGGAGCGACGGGAGCGGCGUCGGGAGGCGUUAGUGGGGCGGCAGUUGGCGGCGAGAUGGGAGCCGGCUUCGGUGAGGAGACGGUGGGGGCGGCGGCUGGGGCUUGGGCGAAGGCGUUUACAACGAGGAAAGAGAACGCCAGG
rnacentral:misc_RNA from 1 species